UCAUUGAGUGGCUGAUUAAAGUAAUGGUCUCUUAAACCACAAAAUGAUAAAAAUUUUAUCCUCAAUG
rnacentral:tRNA from 1 species